rnacentral:misc_RNA from 1 species
CUUUUUCUCUUAUUUUUUGAAUUUGUCCAGCCCAAUAAUUACUCGCCUCCUGUUCGUCAUUUCGUCUUCAUUCUUCUGUAUAUAUAUAUUUUUUAAAAUUUUUAAAAUUUUUUUCUCUUUCUUUUUGUACCCCAGUUUCAGUUUCUAUGCGUAUAACAAGUACGCGUUAAUGUCGUUAAUUUUUUUUUUGUAUUUUUUUUAAUUUUAAGCGUUGAUUUUUAGGUAGAGAAAUGGAGAAAGCUUUUUUUUUUUUUUAAU